rnacentral:rRNA from 1 species
UACGUAGGGGGCUAGCGUUGUCCGGAAUCAUUGGGCGUAAAGCGCGCGUAGGCGGCCAGAUAAGUCCGGUGUGAAAGUCACAGGCUCAACCUGUGAAUGCCGCUGGAAACUGUCUGGCUUGAGUCCGGAAGGGGCGAGUGGAAUUCCUGGUGUAGCGGUGAAAUGCGCAGAUAUCAGGAAGAACACCUAUGGCGAAGGCAGCGCGGUGGGACGGUACUGACGCUGAGACGCGAAAGCGUGGGGAGCGAACAGG